ACCUAGAAGACAUGCAUGAUUGAGUCUCUGUGCUGUGGGGCAACUGACAGUGACGAAAAGAGUGCCCUGCGGAGAUAUCACACCAUUGGUGGGGGAAAGGAAUCAUCCUUUAUGAGGUGGAGAAUGGAGGUAUUACAAAAGCCGUUCCGCCCAUGAAUUAGACAUCGCUUCACCAGGACUUUGUGAUUGAGGUACCAGUAUGGGAAAAGAAACCAAGAAAAAAACUGGGAAGUCCAUUAAAUAUUGC